GACGAACGCUGGCGGCGUGCUUAACACAUGCAAGUCGAACGGAAAGGCCCUGCUUUUGUGGGGUGCUCGAGUGGCGAACGGGUGCGUAACACGUGAGUAACCUGCCCUUGACUUUGGGAUAACUUCAGGAAACUGGGGCUAAUACCGGAUAGGAGCUCCUGCUGAAUGGUGGGGGUUGGAAAGUUUCGGCGGUUGGGGAUGGACUCGCGGCUUAUCAGCUUGUUGGUGGGGUAGUGGCUUACUGAGGCUUUGACGGGUAGCCGGCCUGAGAGGGGGACCGGCCACCAUGGGACUAAGAUACGGCCCAGACUACUACGGGAGGCAACAGUGGGGAAUAUUGCACCAUGGGCGCAAGCCUGAUGCAGCAACGCCGCGUGCGGGAUGACGGCCUUCCGGUUGUAAACCGCUUUCGCCUGUGACGAAGCGUGAGUGACGGUAAUGGGUAAAGAAGCACCGGCUAACUACGUG
rnacentral:rRNA from 1 species